rnacentral:rRNA from 1 species
GACGAAGGGGGCUAGCGUUGUUCGGAAUUACUGGGCGUAAAGCGCGUGUAGGCGGUUGCCCAAGUCGGGUGUGAAAGCCUUGAGCUCAACUCAAGAAAUGCACUCGGUACUGGGUGACUAGAGGACCGGAGAGGAUAGUGGAAUUCCCAGUGUAGUGGUGAAAUACGUAGAGAUUGGGAAGAACACCAGUGGCGAGGGCGGCUAUCUGGACGGUUUCUGACGCUAAGACGCGAAAGCGUGGGGAGCAAACAGG